CCUACGGGUGGCAGCAGUGGGGGAUAUUGCACAAUGGGGGGAACCCUGAUGCAGCGACGCCGCGUGGGUGAAGGAGUAUUUCGGUUUGUAAAGCCCUAUCGGCAGGGAAGAAUUUAGACGGUACCUGACUAAGAAGCCCCGGCUAACUACGUGCCAGCAGCCGCGGUAAUACGUAGGGGGCGAGCGUUAUCCGAAUUCACUGGGUGUAAAGGGAGCGUAGACGGCCAGGCAAGCCUGGAGUGAAAGCCCGGGGCCCAACCCCGGGCCUGCCCUGGUGACUGUACGGCUGGAGUGCGGGAGGGGCAGGCGGAAUGCGUGGUGUAGCGGGGAAAUGCGUAGAUAUCAGGAGGAACACCGGGGGCGAGGGCGGCCUGCUGGACAGCGACUGACGUUGAGGCGCGAAAGCGUGGGGAGCGAACAGGAUUAGAUACCCUGGUAGUC
rnacentral:rRNA from 1 species